rnacentral:rRNA from 1 species
AUACGGAGGAUGCGAGCGUUAUCCGGAUUUAUUGGGUUUAAAGGGUGCGUAGGCUGUGCGUUAAGUCAGGGGUGAAAUGCCGUCGCUCAACGACGGAGCUGCCCUUGAUACUGGCGUGCUGGAGUACGGAUGCCGUUGGAGGAAUGAGUGGUGUAGCGGCGAAAUGCUUAGAUAUCACUCAGAACACCGAUUGCGAAGGCAUCUGACGAAUCCGUCACUGACGCUGAGGCACGAAAGCGUGGGGAUAGAACAGGAUUAGAUACCCUGGUAUUCCACGCCGUAAACGAUGAUGACUAACCGUCGGCGAUAGACAGCCGGUGGCCAAGCGAAAGCGAUAAGUCAUCCACCUGGGGAGUACGUCGGCAACGAUGAAACUCAAAGGAAUUGACGGGG